rnacentral:misc_RNA from 1 species
GACAAUGCAGGUUGCUUCAAGAAAUCAGCGUUUUUGCAGUCGAACGUCGUUUCAACUCGCCUCGCAUUUUUGCGCGCAUUUAGAAUCCUUCGCGUUCUUCGCGUCCUUCGUAGUCACCUUUAGACCGUGGCGGCUAGGCGGGCGUCGGCGUUUUUGGGGAGCUUUUGUUGGAGGGUGAGGACGGGCUCGAAGAGGUCGCCGUGUU